rnacentral:rRNA from 1 species
UACGGAGGGUGCGAGCGUUGUCCGGAAUCACUGGGCGUAAAGGGCGCGUAGGCGGCAGGCCAAGCGUGCGGUGAAAGUCCGGGGCUCAACCCCGGAUCUGCCGUGCGGACUGGUUUGCUAGAGCACUGUAGAGGCGAGUGGAAUUCCGGGUGUAGCGGUGGAAUGCGUAGAGAUCCGGAAGAACACCGGUGGCGAAGGCGGGUCUCUGGGCCGAAACUGACGCUGAGGAGCGAAAGCGUGGGGAGCAAACAGG